GUGGGCGUAGCUCAGUUGGUAGAGUACCUGACUGUGGCUCAGGCCGUCGUGGGUUCAAAUCCCAUCGCCCACCCCA
rnacentral:tRNA from 1 species